rnacentral:lncRNA from 1 species
AUAGAGAGGAGUAGUCAUAUGAGAUUUAAGAGGCUAAGUCCAAAAGUCUGUGGCCACAGUAGUGUAAUUGAUGAAAAAUUUUUUUUAUAGAAGUCACAACUGGACUCAUAACUGGACUUAAGCUAAUCAAUCUAUCACAUGACUGAUGUUGAGGUUUGACGAUUUAUUCAUUACCUGUCAUCUAGUCGGGACUCACGAUAGAGGGACUAAAUCACACGUUAACUAUACCUAGAGGUUCAUUUCAGUUUUACUGAAUUGUCACUACAUACUGCUAGGUGUUCUAGU